AACGAACGCUGGCGGCAUGCCUAACACAUGCAAGUCGAACGAGACCUUCGGGUCUAGUGGCGCACGGGUGCGUAACGCGUGGGAACCUGCCCUUAGGUUCGGAAUAACUCCCCGAAAGGGGUGCUAAUACCGGAUAAUGUCUUCGGACCAAAGAUUUAUCGCCUUUGGAUGGGCCCGCGUUGGAUUAGCUAGUUGGUAGGGUAAAAGCCUACCAAGGCGACGAUACAUAGCUGGUCUGAGAGGAUGAUCAGCCACACUGGGACUGAGACACGGCCCGGAAUCCUACGGGAGGGAGGAGUGGGGGAUACUGGAACAUGGGGCGAAGGCUGAUCCAGCCAUGGCGGGGAAGUGAUGAAGGGCUUAGGGUUGUUGAGCCCCUUUACCCGGGGUGAUAAUGACAGUAACGGGAGAAUAAGCUCCGGCUAACUCCGUG
rnacentral:rRNA from 1 species